CGUCAUAUGUGUGUCCGGCUGUUACCAAUCAUCUCCACCGGCGGUGGCAUCAAAUCAGAACCCAACUAACUAUAUUCACUAAAUCGGAGAUUCGAGUUUGGUUAAAUCUGUUUCUAUUGGAUCGUUGUCUUGUUUUUCCAUGGUGUUUCUUCCUCUGUUUUGACGACGACCAAGUACAGGAGGAAUUGAUGAGAACACUUCGAUCACCGAGGCUGAAUCAGAGCUGAAACCCCAAAUCAGAAUUUGACAUGAAGAAAGAAGCUUGUGGCCAUAUUCUAGAAACUGAAUCGUUUGGCCCUUCUUACUACAACCCUAAGAAGAAGAACUAUCAGUUCAUGUUUGGAGACAGUAAGUGGCGCCGUUUCAAGCCUCUUUGACAUGAUGGCAAAUACUUUAGCUGAGGUCCCAGCCACUCUUGGUGUUUUAGCUGUACCUGAUUGUUUCUUGACUCCCUCCUGCCUUUGAGAAACAAUCUCUUCUCUGAUCUGAUCUCAAGGAUGAGUUACAUUGGAUGGUUGAAGCUAUAUAAGUUAGACUUCUCCAAAUGUUUAUUUUGAUAUAUAAAUGUCUGUUUGCUUGUUUCUGCAUUAAUGAUGUUUCUACACUGAAUGUCAAAUGAAAUUUGGCAAAAACAUAACCACAAAUAUUGCAAGACUUUGUUAAAGAUCAAC